CUACUCGUCAUCCGUCUCGCCUUUAGUUGUUCUCUCCGACUGCCGCCAUUUUCUUCAUACGUGCUUCAUGGUACACCAUGAGUGAUUAUUCAGCGGUUGCGCCGCCUCAAAAUUUUAAUCAAAGUUCAGCUUUUGCAGCUGCCCUCCAACGAGCAAGACAGAUUGCUGCGAAAAUCAAUCCUAAUAGCGCUUCCAGCACUGGAACUACUGAUUCGGCUAUUGGACAAAAACGACCUUUAGAAGAAAGCAGUGUUGACUUCGAGCCGGAUUCAAAGAAAGUGGCGACCUUGGCGAGUCCACCGUUAGCCGCUAGUGCGCCGUCGUCGGUUGGAGCAGGGGGGGUUGGGGGGCUGGCAGGGGGGGUGACAGCAGCCGUGGCGGCGCGAGUGGCAGCCGGCAUUCAGGGCCUGGCCGCAUUGGGCGGGCCCGUGUCCAGCGAGGAUAUCAAGGUGCCCGAUAAGAUGGUUGGACUUAUAAUUGGCCGUGGCGGCGAACAGAUCAGUCGACUGCAGUCAGAAUCUGGCUGCAAAAUACAAAUGGCUCCUGACAGCGGAGGCACCCCUGAACGCCUCUGCACGCUCACCGGAAACCCUCAGGCUAUCGGCCGGGCGAAGGAGUUAAUUGGCUCAAUCGUGGCUCAGCGCAGUCGGACUGAGGGUACAGGGGGAGCUCGCUUGGACGAGAUGGGCCUGGGAGGACUCGAUUCGUCCAUGGGAUCCAAUGGAGGAAAUAAUGGCGAUGGGCACUCGUCGGGUUCCGGGGGAAAUGCGCAUGUGGAGAUAAUGGUGCCCGGGCCGAAGGUCGGUCUGAUCAUUGGUAAAGGAGGAGAGACCAUAAAACAAUUGCAGGAAAAGUCCGGGGCAAAAAUGGUGGUUAUCCAAGAAGGACCAAAUCAAGAAACCGAAAAGCCUCUUAGGAUUAGCGGUGAUGUCUCGAAAGUAGAAGCUGCAAAGCAGCUAGUGUACGAACUAAUCGCUGAUAAAGAAGGGGGCUCUUUUGGCGGACGAAGUGGUCUGGGUGGGAAUAACCAGCGAAGUUUUAGGAGCGAAUUUGGAUCUCCAUUUGGUCAAUCUUCUUCCUCAGGUGGAGACGGUGACUCUGUUGAGAUUGCUGUUCCUCGAGCUGCAGUGGGCGUGGUAAUUGGAAAGGGUGGCGAUAUGAUCAAGAAAAUCCAGGGUGAAACCGGCGCCAGGGUGCAGUUCCAGCAAGGUCGCGAAGAUGACCCUGACGACAGACGGUGCUUCCUUUCCGGCAAACCAGACCAGGUUUCCGAGGCUCGUAGGAGAAUAGACGAGCUCAUCGAUAGUGUGCUAAGACGAGACAACGACAGAGGUCGCGGAGGUGGCCGUGGAGGGUUCGAGCGUAGUGGUGGUCGUGAUUUCAACGAUCGCGGAGGCCGUGGCGGUGGUUGGAACAACGACCGCGGUGAUAAGCAAGAAGCAACAUUCGUCGUUCCUGCUAAUAAAUGCGGUGUUAUCAUUGGACGCGGUGGUGAAACCAUAAAGCAGAUCAACCAGUCCACGGGUGCUCACUGUGAACUGGACAGAAGACCGCAAGCGAAUCCCGCCGAGAAGACUUUCCUGAUCCGUGGUCAACCUGAUCAGAUAGAAGCGGCGAAGAGGCUGAUCGCUGAGAAGCUUGGCGGCCCGGGUGGUGGCCUGAUGAGUGGUGGUCAGGGCCAGAACGGUGGAGGCCCUCCCUUCGGCGGUGCCGGCGGUCCCCCUGGUGGUGGCGCAUCUGGUGCUCCGCAUUUCGCUCCGCAGAGCUGGGGUAGUGGCGGGCCACAGGGAUUCCAGCAGCCGUGGGCUAAUCCCCAACAGCCGCAUCCUCAGGAUCCUAACAUGUUUGCGGCUGCUCAAAAUAAUCAAGUUCAGGUACCAGUCAAUCCACAAACUGGUCAGCCGGAUUACUCGGCUCAGUGGGCUGAAUACUAUCGAUCUGUGGGAAUGCAUCGUGAAGCAGAGCUUAUUGAACAGCAGGCUAAAGCAAGCAAGGGGAUGACGGCAGUAGCUGUAGCCGGGGGGCAAGGAGCGCCCCAACAGCAGCCAAGCCAACCGGCGCCGGCCGCCGCGCAGCCCGCACAAAACGGCCAACCUGACUACUCGGCGCAGUGGGCUGAGUACUACCGUUCAACCGGAAAAAUCAAAGAAGCCGAAUUCAUCGAGCAACAGAUGAAGACCAAGGCUCAGGCCGCAGUUGGUGGAGCAGUGACGGCAGCAACCAGCGGGCAGACUGGUGCCUCAGCACCCAAUCCGUACGCGCAGCCCCAACCUCAGCCCUACGGCUAUGGCGCCACUACGGCCGGAUUCUACCAAUCCACACCGCAAGCUCCCACUCAGCAGGCCACUCAGCCUCAGUAUCCCAGUUAUCCUGGCUAUGCCCAGCCUUACCAUCCUCAGGCUCAAGGCCAGGCAGCGCCUCCUGACGGCCAGUAGACUAACCAUCAUCCAGCCAUCUCACUCCCUGUAGUAUGGGGAUUUAACUUGGAUGCAUGCUGUUCUCUAACCUGAUCUUCCUAAGAGUGAUUGUUGGUUGUGUGUGUGCAAGGAGCUCCUUAUUGAUGGAUCGUAUUCUGUUAGGAUUUUCUGUUUGGUUGCUGAGAGAUCAUCUAUGUCCAUGCAUCAGGCAGAUCACAACAGCUAGUAUGCUACGGUGUUGCCCUGUAGUUUGUGACAGGUGAUACAGUAUCUUUAAAUAAGUAACUAUAAGUUCGAAGUUACAGUUUCAUAUUGUUCGAUAAUUAUACACUGUAACAUUAUUUCCUCCAUAUUGUGUUCACUACUAUGUUUUUGUAUAAGUUCUUGUUGGGGUUAUAUAUCGCGUAUUUUCUAUUGCCAUUUAAUCUCCUAUUCUGUUGAUUGUGUACCAAGUUUUUAAUAAAACCUCUUAAAAAUUG
rnacentral:misc_RNA from 1 species